rnacentral:rRNA from 1 species
UACGGAGGGUGCAAGCGUUAUCCGGAUUCACUGGGUUUAAAGGGUGCGUAGGUGGGCUAGUAAGUCAGUGGUGAAAUCCUGGAGCUACAACUCCAGAACUGCCUUUGAUACUGGCGACCUGAGUUCGGGAGAGGUGAGUGGAACUGCGAGUGUAGAGGUGAAAUUCGUAGAUAUUCGCAAGAACACCAGUGGCGAAGGGCGGCUCACUGGCCCGAGUACUGACGCUGAGGUGCGAAAGCGAUGGGGAG